rnacentral:rRNA from 1 species
AUGUUGAGAUGGAUGUGUGGCCACACGAGGAAGGAUCGAGUCCGGAAUGAUGAUAUACGAGAUAGAGUUGGGGUAGCACCAAUUGAGGAGAAGCUUGUCCAACAUCUUUUGAGAUGGUUUGGGCAUAUUCAGCGCAGGCCUCCAGAAGCUCCAGUGCAUAGCGGACGGCUAAAGCGUGCGGAGAAUGUCAAGAGAGGGCGGGGUCGACCGAUUUUGACAUGGGAGGAGUCCGUUAAGAGAGACCUGAAGGAUUGGAGUAUCGACAAAGAGCUAGCUAUGGACAGGGGUGCGUGGAAGCUUGCUAUCCAUGUGCCAGAGCCAUGA